GAUUAAUCAGGCAACAGAUGUGAGGUGCUGUCAUCACGUAAAAUGAUCACGUGUGCUGAAAUUUUCAUUUAAUGGGGCAAACAAUGAUGAAAACUUUUUUCAAACCAUACUUCGACACCAUAAAGCACUGGAUCGGCAUUACACCAUGAUCAGGACCAUGGCCUCCGUCUUUGUCUUUCUACUUUUUUGUUACUUGGCUCACGGGACAACUACACCACCUAGUAAUGGUUGUUUGUAUAAAGGAAAAAUCUAUGCAGCUGGAGAUGAAAUUCCCGAAAUGUCUGGUCAGGAUGGUGACUGGUGUUAUGGAGGUUACUGUGAAAAUUCGGGUGGAACUUUCUCCAUCGUCAACUGGGAUAAUUUCAAUUGCCCCCCGAAGUCGACUACAACCGGUAGCAGCUGAUAUGCAGGACCAGUUUUACAGAAGCUUACAACUAUAAAAUUUCGUUGAACUUUAUAUGAUUUGAAUUGGAACCAAAUUGUCAAGUGCUCUAGAGUUUGAAAUUAAAACACUAUUCAAUACAUUUCUGGUGAAAUAAUUAAAACUUGAACGAAUAAAACGCAUUGUUUUGAUGUUUGUUUUUUUUUAAAAAACAAAAGUCUUGAUCCAAAGGCAGUCUAUGGUGCAAAACAAAAUGUCAGUAUUUAACAUAAUACUUUUCUAUCUGUUUAUAAGUCGUUCACGGACAUGCAUUCUCAAACUAUUUUAAUUUGACGACCAAAGACUACAUGCACAAUGCAUAAUAGAAAUUAUGAAAGAAAUCAAUAAUAUUUUGUGCUUAUAUAAUUAUACUUACAUUUCCCCAGUUUUUGCCUUUGAUAUCUUUACAAAUUGUAAUAACAGCAAACACGAUGCAGGUAUAAAGAAUGCGCAUACAUCUUGAUAAAUAUUUAUCGACUGGAAAUCCCGACGAAAAUGAAAGUAGAAAGUAAAUAUGAGUUUUGGAAAUACAUGUACAUGUGGAUAUGAACUGCGACGCUUCAUGCCCGCAUAGGUCAUGAAGCGCGUUAAAUAUAUGUCAUGAAAUAUAAUUCAUUAAGAUACAUUAAUCUAGCAAGUUUUAUAAAAGGAAUCUCUAUAUAUUAGCAUUGCAUAGUGGAAAUAUAUUUCUUUCAGAAAACAUGAGACAUUUUAUUUUGAACUUCCCAUAAUUACAGGUACUUUCAUAAGAAUACUACAUGUAUCAACAUGCUUUUCCGUCAUCCGGGGUUUUGUCCAUUUAUUGUUUUUUUUAACAUUGACUUCUGACCUGUACAAUACAUGUAUCUAUUUGUAAUAACAAAAUGAACCUCGUGUACCAUUGUAUAUCUAUAGAGAAUGUAUUUUUCUUUCCAUCUGGUAUCUAAAUCCACGACCAUCACCAGAAUACCUCUCAGCUGUGUAUACCAAACAUUUCUAAUGCUAUACAAUCUAUUCAUAUAGACAUCAUCGUAUUGUCAGAAUAUAAUCAUUCAAAGGUAGAUUAAUAGUAACAGAUGACGAACACCUCUUAAGGUGCAGCAACAUGUUGAAGAAAAACUCCUUCAUUGCCAACGGAACAUAUAUUCAACGUGUUAUCAAUGAAAUUUAUUGAGCACUGUGGCAGUAUUUCUCUUUGUGCCGCGCUAUACCAAGGCGAUGAAAGUUCUCUUCUAUUUUGUGCUGUUGUCUUGUUACAUCUUGAACGGAAAUACGACGCCUGUUACGACAUCAAAGUCCCCUGGUUGUGAACAUAAUGGGAGCGUCUAUUCCCCGGGUGAGCAGAUUCCGGACUUGGGUGGUCAGGAAGGAAACCACUGUUUCGGCGCAUAUUGUGAAAACUCAGCUGGGACGUACAUCAUUAUGAACUGGGACAACUUUAACUGCCCUCAAGUCCAAACCGAGCAGCCGUUGAUGCAAUGACGAUAUGCCUGAUGGAAAUCUACAAGAAAAACACCCAACAAAUGUAGCAAGAUGAAAAUGUAAUAAACAAAAUUGGGAUAAAUGUU